rnacentral:rRNA from 1 species
GACGAACGCUGGCGGCGUGGAUUAGGCAUGCAAGUCGAGCGAGAACCGUAGCAAUACGGGGACAGCGGCGAAAGGGACAGUAAUGUGUAGGUACCUACCCCUGGGUUCGGGAUAGCUGCGGGAAACUGCAGGUAAUGCCGAAUAAUGUCUCCGGACCAAAGGUGUGAUUCCACCUGGGGAGGGGCCUGCAUCCUAUUAGCUUGUUGGCGGGGUAACGGCCCACCAAGGCAACGAUGGGUAGCGGGUGUGAGAGCACGACCCGCGUCAUUGGGACUGAGAUACUGCCCAGACACCUACGGGUGGCUGCAGUCGAGGAUCUUCGGCGAUGGGCGAAAGCCUGACCGAGCGACGCCGCGUGCGGGAUGAAGGCCUUCGGGUUGUAAACCGCUGUCGUUGGGGAGGAAGUGCAGGGGGGUUCUCCCCUCUGUUUGACCUAUCCAAGGAGGAAGUACGGGCUAAGUUCGUGCCAGCCGCCGCGGUAA